UACAGAGGUCUCAAGCGUUGUUCGGAUUCAUUGGGCGUAAAGAGCUCGUAGGCGGCUUGUCGCGUCGACUGUGAAAUCCCGCGGCUCAACCGCGGGUCUGCAGUCGAUACGGGCAGGCUAGAGUUCGGUAGGGGAGACUGGAAUUCCUGGUGUAGCGGUGAAAUGCGCAGAUAUCAGGAGGAACACCGGUGGCGAAGGCGGUGGUCUGGGCCGGCACUGACGCUGAGGAGCGAAAGCGUGGGGAGCGAACAGG
rnacentral:rRNA from 1 species